ACCUGUGCUUUUCUUUUGCUGAUCUCAUCAAUCGUCCAGAUUUCGCCCACCGGAAUAUGAUGCAAAGCGGUAACAACACCUGUGCAUCCGGCCUGCCGUAUAUCCCAUAAACUAACCGGAUCAUUCGGUCCAAACCAUCGCAUCGUUUGCUCCAUCAGCAUGGCCAAUUGUUUUUUGUUUCUAGUUUUUUAUUUUCUGCCCAAUAUCUUAAUUAUUAACCUGUGAAAUACACAUAGAUUGUAAUGAUUAUUGCGAUAAGCAGAACUGAGAGCAAUACAUCUUUUAUACUCCAUGUUGC
rnacentral:misc_RNA from 1 species